GACGAACGCUGGCGGCGUGCUUAACACAUGCAAGUCGAACGAUGAAGCUGGAGCUUGCUCCGGUGGAUUAGUGGCGAACGGGUGAGUAACACGUGAGUAAUCUGCCCUUGACUCUGGGAUAACUGCGGGAAACUGUAGCUAAUACCGGAUACGACACCUUCGGGCAUCCGAUGGGUGUGGAAAGAAUUUCGGUCAAGGAUGAACUCGCGGCCUAUCAGCUAGUUGGUGAGGUAAUGGCUCACCAAGGCGACGACGGGUAGCCGGCCUGGGAGGGGGACAGGCCACACUGGGACUGAGACACGGCCCAGACUCCUACGGGAGGCAGCAGUGGGGAAUAUUGCACAAUGGGCGAAAGCCUGAUGCAGCAACGCCGCGUGAGGGAUGAAGGCCUUCGGGUUGUAAACCUCUUUUAGUUGGGAAGAAGCGAAAGUGACGGUACCAACAGAAAAAGCACCGGCUAACUACGUGCCAGCCGCCGCCGUAA
rnacentral:rRNA from 1 species